rnacentral:rRNA from 1 species
AUUGAACGCUGGCGGCAUGCUUUACACAUGCAAGUCGAACGGCAGCGCGGGCUUCGGCCUGGCGGCGAGUGGCGAACGGGUGAGUAAUGCAUCGGAACGUGCCCAGUAGUGGGGGAUAGCCCGGCGAAAGCCGGAUUAAUACCGCAUACGACCUGAGGGUGAAAGCGGGGGACCGAAAGGCCUCGCGCUAUUGGAGCGGCCGAUGUCGGAUUAGCUAGUUGGUGGGGUAAAGGCUUACCAAGGCGACGAUCCGUAGCUGGUCUGAGAGGACGACCAGCCACACUGGGACUGAGGCACGGCCCAGACUCCUACGGGAGGCAGCAGUGGGGAAUUUUGGACAAUGGGGGCAACCCUGAUCCAGCCAUGCCGCGUGCGGGAAGAAGGCCUUCGGGUUGUAAACCGCUUUUGUUCGGGAAGAAAUCCUCUGGGCUAAUACCCCGGGGGGAUGACGGUACCGGAAGAAUAGGCACCGGCUAACUACGUG